AUGUGGUUUAAUUCGAUGGUACGCGAGGAACCUUACCUGGGUUUGACAUCCCGGGGAUCUUUCUGAAAGGAUUGAGUGCCCUUCGGGGAGCCCGGUGACAGGUGCUGCAUGGCUGUCGUCAGCUCGUGUCGUGAGAUGUUGGGUUAAGUCCCGCAACGAGCGCAACCCUUAUCUUUAGUUACCAUCAUUAAGUUGGGGACUCUAAAGAUACUGCCCCGGUUAACGGGGAGAAGGUGGAGAUGACGUCAAGUCCUCAUGGCCUUUAUGUCCAGGGCUACACACGUGCUACAAUGGGUUGUACAAAGGGUUGCGAACUCGCGAGAGUAAGCCAAUCCCAAAAAGCAACUCUUAGUUCGGAUUGGAGUCUGCAACUCGACUCCAUGAAGCUGGAAUCGCUAGUAAUCGUGGAUCAGCAUGCCACGGUGAAUACGUUCCCGGGCCUU
rnacentral:rRNA from 1 species